CGCACAGGUAACUUUCCGAGCGGCGCUGGAUUCUUUCACUAAAGGCGCGGGGCAGAGGGACGAGCCGCCAGCUGAUUGGGCGGCGCGGCCCGGCAGGUGCGCUGCCAUUGGAAGAGGCGCGCACAGGCCAACACCUCUGACAGCUGGGAGACUCAACACAACACCUAGGGUGAAGCUAUGGUGAGACUGAAUCAUGUUAUGGAGGCAGAAGCGUCCUCAGAUCAUGUCAUUCGUUGUGAGGGCGUUGUCUUGGGAGAUAAAAAAGAAGGGAAAAGCUGAGCUAUGGUAGAGCUGAUUUGAGGAGAUUUGCACGUCUAUGGAAAAGUUCUGCAGGCGGGUGGCCAGCAUGUUCAGGAGCUGUCUGUAAGUCUUUUGUGUGCAUUGCUCCCCAGUGGCAGCCCAGCAUAGAGCAGAGCCCAGCAGCACACUUGGCAUGGUAUAAAUGUGAAGUGGGGAAACCCUGUACCAGUUGAUUUAGAAACAGUUAAACAGCUUAUGACUGCAGUUGACUGAUCCCCUCAACUCCACCAUUAGCAAGAAUCCAAGCCUCCCUAAUUUAUCGAAUAAAACCACUUUAUCUGUGGCAAAUGGCCCCAUUUCCAGCUCCUGCA